AAGGAUACCUGGUAGGGGAGAUACCAUGAUCACCACAGUCGGUCUCCCAGAGUGAGGUCUGUCCCUUGCAUACCAGGCACGCCGACCCCUGCAAAUUUCCCCAAAGGCAGGAAGCUUGACUGCACAAUUUUGUGGUAGUGGGGGACUGCUUUUUUGCUUUCCCCCU
rnacentral:snRNA from 1 species